rnacentral:rRNA from 1 species
UACGUAGGGUGCGAGCGUUAAUCGGAAUUACUGGGCGUAAAGCGUGCGCAGGCGGUUCGACAAGUCCGAUGUGAAAGCCCCGGGCUCAACCUGGGAAUGGCAUUGGAAACUGGCGAGCUUGAGUGUGGCAGAGGGGGGUGGAAUUCCGCGUGUAGCAGUGAAAUGCGUAGAGAUGCGGAGGAACACCGAUGGCGAAGGCAGCCCCCUGGGCUGACACUGACGCUCAGGCACGAAAGCGUGGGGAGCGAACCGG